rnacentral:sRNA from 1 species
GGCGCUGGGCUCCAUGGUGGGCCUCAUGACCUACGGGCGGCGCCAAUUCCAGCCCCUGGACGCGACGAUGCGGCGCCUGAUCCCGCCCUUCCGCGAGGCUUCGGCCAAGCUAACCACGCUGGUGGAUGCCGACGCCGAGGCCUUCGCCGCCUACCUGAAGCUUGGUUCCUAGAGAACUGGUCCCUGCCUGGGACAUGCUCCUUGCUACGGCCCCUUGUGGGAGCUCAGACGGCAUGGCUGCUCCCCCUACAGUCCCUCGCCCAGUGGUUCUGUCUUUUUCUGGCAGGAAGCAAUGAGGCUGCCCAAGAACACACCUGAGGAAAAGGACAGGCGCACAGCGGCCCUACAGGAGGGGCUGAGGCGGGCAGUCUCUGUGCCGCUGACGCUAGCGGAGACGGUGGCCUCGCUAUGGCCAGCGCUGCAGGAACUGGCCCGGUGUGGGAACCU